rnacentral:rRNA from 1 species
AACGAACGCUGGCGGCAGGCCUAACACAUGCAAGUCGAACGGGCCCUUCGGGGUCAGUGGCGGACGGGUGAGUAACGCGUGGGAACGUGCCCAUCGGAUCGGAAUAACCCAGGGAAACUUGGGCUAAGACCGGAUACGCCCUUUUGGGGAAAGAUUUAUCGCCGAUGGAUCGGCCCGCGUCUGAUUAGCUUGUUGGUGGGGUAACGGCUCACCAAGGCGACGAUCAGUAGCUGGUCUGAGAGGAUGAUCAGCCACACUGGGACUGAGACACGGCCCAGACUCCUACGGGAGGCAGCAGUGGGGAAUAUUGGACAAUGGGCGCAAGCCUGAUCCAGCCAUGCCGCGUGAGUGACGAAGGCCUUAGGGUUGUAAAGCUCUUUUGGCGGGGACGAUAAUGACGGUACCCGCAGAAUAAGCUCCGGCUAACUUCGUGCCAGCAGCCGCCGUAAUAC